AGCGAACGCUAGCGGGUGGCUUAACACAUGCAAGUCGAGCGCUUACCUUCGGGUAAGAGCGGCGAACGGGUGAGUAACACGUAGGAUACCUGCCUUAUGGUGGGGGAUAACUAGGGGAAACCCUAGCUAAUACCGCAUAUGGCCCACGGGUCAAAGGCUUCGGCCGCCAAAAGAUGGUCCUGCGGCCCAUUAUUUAAUCCUAGUUGGCGAGGUAACGGCUCACCAAGGGUACGAUGGGUAGCUGGUCUGAGAGGACGAUCAGCCACACUGGGACUGAGACACGGCCCAGACUCCUACGGGAGGCAGCAGUGGGGAAUAUUGCGCAAUGGGCGAAAGCCUGACGCAGCCAACCCGCGUGAGUGAUGAAGGCCCUAGGGUUGUAAAGCUCUGUCGUGAGGGAAGAAGGCUUCGGCUUGACGGUACCUCACAAGAAAGCACCGGCUAACUCCG
rnacentral:rRNA from 1 species